ACAAAGGGCGCCUCAGUUAAGCCGGCAAAUCUUGUUGCUUUAAGGUACCACGGCUUUAGCCGGUAUCUACAGAGCACUUGUUUUCGGUACUUCCACUUCCACGAGGCAAAAAUCUUACUCAAAAGUAAGCAUACUUGAGCGACAGGAACAAAUACUGAGACCACACUAUAUAAGCCACACUGGAGCGCAUUGGAGGAAAUUUCACCUGGUCCAGAGUGGCGGGGUGAAAGGCCGCGAGACUGACGCCUAGCGGAACCCAAGGGAAAGUGCUUCCGAGUGGUGACCUGACAACCUGGAACGCCCCUGGUGGCGCUGGGCUGGGUCGGAGGACACGUGUAAUUCAGGUUUUCCAGUCGACUGCUGGCCAGGAUUGGAACAUCAAAGCUGACAGUUUAUAAGUUGAUCUGUCUGAGAGCAGCAGCAACAGCAAAAGAGUAGGAUAAGGAAGUAUUUCUGAUGGUUCAAACAGGAGAAGCCUCUGGAAGGUUAAAUAAAAGCUGAGAUUCAGGUGCUGAAAAACUUCAUCAUGAGCCAGAACUGAGUUGGAAAACAAUGAAAGGAGCUUUGUUAUAAAGACAAGUAAAGAUUAAUAUUUAUUUAAAAGAUGUCAUCAUAAAAGAUGUCAGGGAGUUUUGUAUGUUUUUUGUAGAAUUUCCAAAUUGUAUUUUGUAUAAUCCAUAUUAAAAUUUAUAUGCAUUUCUUAAGCAUCAACUAAAAAUCAGAACAUAUAGGUUAUGGAGAAUUAGGAGCAAACAACUUAGCAAUACUAGUUAAGCAUGAUGCGAAGGAUCCAUAUAUAAAUAGGACUGUCUAUUUGACAAGUGCAGAGGGAAAAUAAACAUGCAGUAAAAUUAAUUGGGGUUAAUGAGAUAAGAGUUAUAAAUGCAUAUACAAGAAAUAACAGAAAAUUGUGGUAUAAUAAUUACCUGGUAAGGGCCUCCCUGGUGGCCCAAGGGGUUGAGUCUCAGCACUGUAAAGC